AAGGCAACUACAGUAGGGAGUGAGGGGUUCCUCAGAAGUCAUCUGUACCUCCCCCCCUCACUGAAGGGCAGCGGCACAUGAAGAAGGUAGAGAAAUGAUCCCUCAGCUACAGAAGACGACCUGUGAGAGGAAUGAGCUGUGUGGUUUCCUGGCCCAUUAUACAAAGAUUUGAACAACAGGGAAGACUAUGUACAGCCCUCCAUGAAGAAUUGUUACUUUUACAUCAAUCAUUCAGGAGUAGUAAAGGAUUCUACGGCUAAAGUUUGAGAAGGACUAGCCAAAAGGAAAAGAGAAAAAGGAUAGCAUCAAGGAUGGUUUGAAUCCUGAUUCUCCACUUUCCCAUGGCUUACAACUUUAAUUUCUACACUGCUUGGACCAUUAAUUAUAAUUUUGUUGCUUUUAACUUUUGGACCUUGUGUCUUAAACAAAUUGGUUGCCUUCACACAGGAUCACUUUCAGGAAGCUCAGAUAUUCACCAUGGCAGUCAUUCAUCGCUAUGAAGAAAUGCAUUGGGUGCAUAGUCAUAUGUCCUUCGUGGCUUCGGUCUGAAUGGGAAAGAGUGUGCUAUUGAAGGCCAGUAGUCAGAGUUGGGUAAGAGUGUUCUUUAGCUCCUAUCAACCUAAGACAGACAUAUGUCAAAAAGCUAUGUUUGUCAUCCAUGACAGGGAAGAAGGAGCAAUAUAGACACCUAAGACAGGCAUGGUCGCCUAGCCAGUCUAUUCCCUAGACAGGAUUAUGGAAAACAAAUGAAUCUUGUGCCCCUGUCCAGCUAUUGAUAACUGUUCAUCUUUAAUAAACAAAAAGGGAGGGGUGAUUGUGCCUUUCCCUGAGCCUUGAGUAGGCUGAACAAAACCAGGAUGGUUUUACAACCUUGCUGGAGUCAUUUGGCCUCACAGCAUUUGUAAUUUCCUACAGGAUCUUUGAGGAGUUGACCUGCUGAGCUUGCUUUGCAACUCAAUCCAGCUGAAACAAAGGAUGGGUCUGUGGGCUUUCCCUAUAUAUCCCAGUGCUAAAUAUUAAACUUUGAGCC
rnacentral:lncRNA from 1 species